GGGUUGCCAAAUCGCCAAAAUAACAUCCGUCGUAUUCGAUGACCGAUGAUUUAAAUUUUUUAUUUUAUUCAUACAAUUCUGCAAAACAUUUAUUCCGUUCGGAGUUGUAGAUCAAUUAAUUGAUCGUCAGUAUCAAUAAAAUUUAACUGAAUCACUUGUCAACUAUGAUCUUGUGAAUGCUACGCAUAUGACUCUGUAAAUGAAUUUUCUGGCGAAAUGACCGGGAACAGAG